GUUGGAUGCGCGCUGUGUUAAGCAGUGCGGCUUGGUUGGGUUGUGUUUCGGAGGACGUAUAGCUUUCGACCUUCGUCUCUCCCGAGGCCAUAUGGGAGAUGUAGCGAUGAGACAAGAUCGUGAGUUGGCUUCAAACCAAGACAGGCCAUUCCUUUAUCAUUUCUUUAAAAUGUUCAGAUAACCACCUGUGUGUGUGUGUCCUUUCCCUCUCAAUUCUGCAGGACUACCUUCUGUAUUCAUCCAGGUGACUGUCACAGCUGCAACAUAACUAUUCAACAUAAUAGACUGAGUAGUUAUUGGACGUUGAGUGUUUCUUUGAACUAUGAAUACUGCUCCAGUGUUAAUGUUAUGGUGUGGCAUUGGGUGUGCCGUGUUUUGGUAGCUUUCGUUAUACUCAGGGGACCUGACUCAGACACAGUGUGGCAGCUUUACCCAUCUGGUGGCCUGUAAUUGGCUAUAAUAAGAAUGGUGGCAACAGAGACAAUGGGAGGAUGUCCUGCAAAGAGCUAAUCUUUUUUUCCAUACUUCCUUAUUGGCGCGUGAGUGUCAUUUACGGUUUAGGUUCACAUGCCACUUACCGGAGGUCCUCCUGUGUGUUCCAGUCUCCUAACCCCUGAAGCAACGCUGCCACCACUGCUGCACCUUCAGCCCAGACAAAACGUUAUACUCCGCUAGCGUCUCACGUAAACAAGGAUGGACAUUUCAAAUUCCUUCAUUAGAGUGUGACCACUUACGUUGUUAAUCACAUGCCAUUUAUCCUACUUCCACUUGUGUGUUCCAUGCUGCCUGUUGCCGGAGCUCCGGAGACUUUGCUUAACUGACUACAGUGAAGCUGCAGGCCGCUGUUAUCACCAGGCUAAGUUCCCACACUUUCUUAGCAGAGAGGAUCCGAGAUGGACAAACUUAGCAGAAAAUCAGUGGUACAUUAGUAUAGCAUAUUUAUUAAAUGCAAAGAUUCUGUUUUUUAUAUUUUACUCUCUACAUUUGGUUAUGUUUUGUCUGACUAGUACUCCCUACUGUCUUUCAGUUGGCUUUAGUUCUGCAUUGACUGAACACAUCUUUAUCAUCGAGUUUAGUUUUAGCACUACAUACAUACAGUACAUUUGAAAAGUUCUGUAUUAUGGUGUCCCUGUGUGUCUGCUCCCACUGUCACUGAGGUCGCUGAGCUGUUGGUGAGAAACAGGGCAUCGGUCAACGUAGCUGACCUGUGGAAUUUCACCCCUCUGAGGCUGCAGCCAAGGGAAAAUAGCUAAGAGAUCUGCUGAUGCUCAAGAACUGUGAAGGAAUGGUGAAGGAGGGAGACACGGGCAUCCAGGACAAGCUGGAAGGAGAUGCUGCUCUCCUUGAGCACAGGGCUGACGACAACGCUCAGGUCAAAGGAGGCUCACCUCCCUGUGCAACACAGCCUGAUAUGGGCACAUGCACAUUGCGGCCCUCCUGAUCAAGUACCAUGUCCGUAUGAAUGCCACAGACAAGUAGUUAGCCUUCAACCUGCUCCACAUGGCAGCUCAGAAUGUAAACAUAGUGAAUGUAUGCAUGUUAUCUCUCUAUUUGAACAAGUCUUCGACUUGCAAUGACGUAGUCUGGUCACAAUAAUUCUAAUCCAAUAUAUUUUGACACACAUGGCUAGAGAAACUCCUUAUCACCCAGUAACUCUCCAUCUGAUCAAGUUCUCCUCCUUCCUCAUACUGAAGAUAAUGUAUAUGUGCCCUGUUGAUAGACACUAUGCCACGGGAAGCGGGAUCACCAGCUCAAACUGUCCAAUCUCUGGAGUGGACAACAGACAUUUCUCAAAUCUGUGCUUGACUCGGCCCAUGUGCCACCCAGCCAAAUGGACUAAUGCAUGAAUCAUUUAGCUUAACAUUUUGUGUGUAUUUCAUACAAGCUUGCAGGUUGUUAUUUCUUUGCAACUCACAGCAAAUGUGUAAUCAUAUUCUGUAAUCGUGUCCCUCAGGGCUACAAUGUUAAAAGUCAGACUCCAUUCCCUUAUACACUGAAGUGAACUGAUGUACAGUGGACCAGCAGCAGUCAGUUUGUAACCUGACACCACUGGAGGUCUUGAUGGUAUUUGUGAACAAGAAAGAAAACAAGUAGGCACUCAGUGAAAGCACAAAGCUUUUGGGAACUAUUUACAGGUAACAUAUAUAAAAUAAUACAUAUAAGUAGGACCAGAUCAGCCUAUAGUUUACAACAACAUGAACGUGACCAUAUCCCUGGCCAACGCCAGGGAGCUCCCUCAUCCCAAUACCACUCCUCCUCCUGUAUGUCCUACUCGCCCAUUAGGAGUGCCCACUGAAGCUCCCUUGUCUUCAUUUGUUCAGGGUUUGGGAGGGCACUGGGUAAGGUUCGCAUGCUUCCCAGCCAAAACACGCCACCUCAUCGGCGAUUGGUCAACAAUAGAGACUCUUUAAUGAAGUGCCUGAUAUUGUUCAAUGAGAGACGACUCGAGAAAUACUGCACCAAACAUCCUAGUCAGAUGCAGAAUUGUGCGACUAUGAUCUCCUCGGCAAAAAUGUUGUGCCCGAACAGCCGGGAAAAAACUUAACGAAGUCCAAAACGAUCACAAAAUGUUGUCAUAAUAUACAGUGCCUUGCAAAAGUAUUCGGCCCACUUGAAUUUUGCGACCUUUUGCCACAUUUCAGGCUUCAAUCAUAAAGAUAUAAAACUGUAUUUUUUUGUGAAGAAUCAACAACAAGUGGGACACAAUCGUGAAGUGGAACGACAUUUAUUGGAUAUUUCAAACUUUUUAAACAAAUCAAAUACUAAAAAUUUGGGCGUGUAAAACGACUCCUAUAUCGACAUAACCUGAAAGGCCGCUCAGCAAGGAAGAAGCCACUGCUCCAAAACCACCAUAGAAAAUCCAGACUACGGUUUGCAACUGCACAUGGGGAGAAAGAA